GGCCUUUGAGCCCUUCACAGGAAAGUCAAAGGGAGCUGGGCCAUGCCGUGUAUAGAAAGUGGCAGAAGCGUUCAGACUACACACUGCUUGUUUUAGUGCCUCUGAAAGUAGAAGAAUGAGAUAAAGGAGAGGGAACAUGAUUUGGAAAAAACACUCCUCCAGCACUUCAACCUGGGAGCCAACUCUGAGCCCUGCACAAUUUGAAGAAGCUGCAGCAGCCCAUGGAGUUACAUGGUUUGGCACUUUGGAAGUGGCACUCAGAGCAGCUGCCACAGCACUGAGGAUAGAUGCCUGCCCUUCUGUAGAGAACACACUUGCAACAGAGAUUAGCACUUUGAGCUGUCCUAUUAGUCAAUUUAUCUGCUCUUGUGCACAUUUUUUUCAACCUUUAUGAAUAAUACAACACCAAAUAUUUUUCUGAGGAAGAGUAUGCAGUACCUUUUCACUCCAUGUUUGGUGGUGGCAGAAAUAGGCCUGAUAAAUUAAAUACUUACCAUGAUGCUCAAUGGAGGAGGUUUCUGGUUGUUUGUGGAGUUUUUUGUUUGUUUGUUUGUUUGUUUUUAAUAAAAGUACUUUUAACAUAAAAAAAGAGGAUAUUUAGUCUGUGGAAAUCACUGGUGCUUAAAUCUUCAUGUCACCACAACUUAGCCAGAAGAAACACUCUGUUUCUUGAGAUUCCCUUCCAUAGACAUCUUUGAAUAGAGAAGGAUUACAUUCAGAAUUACGUUCUCUGGAAUGUGAGUCUCUUGCUUUGGUGUCACACCUAUGGCUUCCAUUCAGUCCUAGAGUCCUCCUUGAUGGGACACAGCCUGAAUUUCAGAGAAAUCACUGAUCUCUCAAAGAUAGAUGCCUCAGCAUUUAUCAAUUGGUUGAAUGUGGCAUGCUUCCAUAAUGUGGCUGACUAAAGAUGAAAAUGAGCACCUCUGAGGAUUUCCAAAAGCACAGACUCCUCUCAGUCAGACACGCAUCAGUUUUUAAUUUAGAAUUAAA
rnacentral:lncRNA from 1 species